CACUUGAUUGUAUCCGUAGCUACAUAUGGCGUUUCGGCCACCCGCACAUUACUGGAGGUUUUCAAUUUUUCACGAUUUUCUUUCCAUAUCUGCAAGAAACCACACACACUCUCUCUCUCUCUCUCUCUCCAUCUCAAUCUCCCCAUAUCUGCAAGAAACUAGGUCUUUUACAUAAAUCUUUCUCUCUACUUGCUCUCGAUCGAAUACCCUAGCUCUUCUCUCUUUGUGUAGCCCCAAACCUCAUCUCGAUUUACAACCUUAUUUUGUUCUACCCAGACGCAGGCCUUAAUUUGAAUCGGUGGAUUGGGGGAAUUGAACCCCAAUGGCACUGAGACAGCCAGGGAAUUAGAAGCUGAGGAUGAGGAGAAAGGGUCGAAAGGUCUGAAGUUUCAGUGGCAAACGGCUGUGGUUUCCACCGGAACUGUUGCCGCAGCUGCGGAUUUACUAUAUCUGAUCUACUACGCCAGGCGAAGGUAGGGAGGAAAAGAGUAUAGAGAGAUUAGAGCGACCAACGUCUAAUCAAUAAUCAAUAAUAAGAAGACAAGAAGUUGCAUGUGAAAACUAUGCCUAGGAGUUGGAUUGGAAGUUCAAAUGAUCCAUUUUUCAAGACCACACCACAAUACAGGCGAGAGGUCAACAAAUUCAUUGACUAUGCAUUUUCUAGUACUACAGUCAAAGGGGAUCGGAUCCUAUGCCCAUGUGUGCAAUGAAGUUCAGUAGAAGUUUCAAAGUUCCAGCUAAUAGAGGUAGAAUUGCAAAAGAUGACAUUGGAAUAACUUGUCACAGAUUAUGUUUCUUUGGAAAUGUGGACAACAAAAACAAUGGAGUUUUUCCUUUUUUUUUUUUUUGGUGUGUAUUGGUGAACCGAAGUGGUGAACAAAUGAAUGAAGUAUUAUGUAUUGACCUAUUAAAAGUUUGAUGAAAGACGAUGAAUUUUUUGAAUACUGUAAUACACUUUUUAAAUUUAAAUGAAAGUACUAAAUUCUAGAUGGA